UACGGGGGGGGCAAGCGUUGUUCGGAAUUACUGGGCGUAAAGGGCUCGUAGGCGGCCAACUAAGUCGGAUGUGAAAUCCCCAGGCUCAACUUGGGAACUGCAUCCGAUACUGGAUGGCUUGAAUUCGGGAGAGGGAUGCAGAAUUCCAGGUGUAGCGGUGAAAUGCGUAGAUAUCUGGAAGAACACCCGUGGCGAAGGCGGCUCUCUGGGACGGUACUGACGCUGAGACGCGAAAGCGUGGGGAGCGAACAGG
rnacentral:rRNA from 1 species